rnacentral:rRNA from 1 species
UACCAGCACCCCGAGUGGUCGGGACGAUUAUUGGGCCUAAAGCAUCCGUAGCCGGCCUUACAAGUCCUCCGUUAAAUCCAGCUGCUUAACAGAUGGGCUGCGGAGGAUACUACAGAGCUAGGAGGCAGGAGAGGCAAGCGGUACUCAGUGGGUAGGGGUAAAAUCCGUUGAUCCAUUGAAGACCACCAGUGGCGAAGGCGGCUUGCCAGAAUG